GGGGGCAUAGUACAACGGUUAGUAUGGCGGUCUCCAAAACCGCAGAUUGAGGUUCGAUUCCUCAUGCCCCUGCCA
rnacentral:tRNA from 1 species